rnacentral:pre_miRNA from 1 species
UUUAAGCGUAACCAUAAGUUUGUCUAACUUUGAUCGUCUAUAAUAUUUAAAAAUUUUUUAGUAUUUGUAUUGUUAUUAGAUGAUUAAAUAUGAAUAAUACUAACUUAUGUAUUUUAACUUUUUUCAAAACAUUUUCAAAUAAAACGGUCAAUUAAAGCUGGACACGGAAACUGAUGACGGAAACUGAU